rnacentral:rRNA from 1 species
UCCUCCCUCUGGCGGCGUGCUUAACACAUGCAAGUCGAACGAUGAACCGGUUUCGGCCGGGGAUUAGUGGCGAACGGGUGAGUAACACGUGGGCAAUCUGCCCUGCACUCUGGGAUAAGCCCGGGAAACUGGGUCUAAUACCGGAUACGACACUCCGAGGCAUCUUGGGGUGUGGAAAGUUCCGGCGGUGCAGGAUGAGCCCGCGGCCUAUCAGCUUGUUGGUGGGGUAAUGGCCUACCAAGGCGACGACGGGUAGCCGGCCUGAGAGGGUGACCGGCCACACUGGGACUGAGACACGGCCCAGACUCCUACGGGAGGCAGCAGUGGGGAAUAUUGCACAAUGGGCGAAAGCCUGAUGCAGCGACGCCGCGUGAGGGAUGACGGCCUUCGGGUUGUAAACCUCUUUCAGCAGGGAAGAAGCGAAAGUGACGGUACCUGCAGAAGAAGCACCGGCUAACUACGUG